GCAGGGAGCGCCCGGAUGGAGCGGAGGAUGAAAGGCGGAUACUUGGACCAGCCAGUGCCCUACACCUUCAGCAGCAAAUCGCCCGGAAAUGGGAGCCUGCGCGAAACGCUGAUGGUCCCGCAGGGGAAGCUCAUGGACCCGGGCUCCCUGCCUCCCUCCGACUCCGAAGAUCUCUUCCAGGAUCUAAGUCACUUCCAGGAGACGUGGCUCGCUGAAGCUCAGGUACCAGACAGUGAUGAGCAGUUUGUUCCUGAUUUCCAUUCAGAAAACCUAACUUUCCACAGCCCCACCACCAGGAUCAAGAAGGAGCCCCAGAGUCCCCGCAGAGACCGGGCCCUGUCCUGCAGCAGGAAGCCGCCACUCCCCUACCACCAUGGCGAGCAGUGCCUUUACUCCGGUGCCUAUGACCCCCCCAGACAAAUUGCCAUCAAGUCCCCUGCCCCUGGUGUCCUUGGACAGUCACCCCUGCAGCCCUUUCCCCGGGCAGAGCAACGGAAUUUCCUGAGAUCCUCUGGCACCUCCCAGCCCCACCCUGGCCAUGGGUACCUUGGGGAACAUAGCUCCGUCUUCCAGCAGCCCCUGGACAUUUGCCACAACUUCACAUCUCAGGGAGGAGGCCGGGAACCCCUCCCAGCCCCCUACCAACACCAGCUGUCGGAGCCCUGCCCACCCUAUCCCCAGCAGAGCUUCAAGCAAGAAUACCAUGACCCCCUGUAUGAACAGGCGGAACAGCCGACCAUGGACCAGGGUGGGGUCUCAAUGGGCACAGGUACCCAGGGGCGGGGGUGGUGAUCAAACAGGAGCAGACGGACUUCACCUACGACUCAGAUCUCACCGGGUGUGCAUCAAUGUACCUCCACACAGAGGGCUUCCCCGGGCCCUCUCCAGGUGACGGGGCCAUGGGCUAUGGCUAUGAGAAAACUCUGCGACCAUUCCCAGAUGAUGUCUGCGUUGUCCCUGAGAAAUUUGAAGGAGACAUCAAGCAGGAAGGGGUUGGUGCAUUUCGAGAGGGGCCACCCUACCAGCGCCGGGGUGCCCUGCAGCUGUGGCAAUUUCUGGUGGCCCUGCUGGAUGACCCAACAAAUGCCCAUUUCAUUGCCUGGACGGGCCGGGGAAUGGAGUUCAAGCUCAUUGAGCCUGAGGAGGUUGCCAGGCUCUGGAGCAUCCAGAAGAACCGGCCAGCCAUGAAUUACGACAAGCUGAGCCGCUCGCUCCGAUACUACUAUGAGAAAGGCAUCAUGCAGAAGGUGGCUGGAGAGCGUUACGUGUACAAGUUUGUGUGUGAGCCCGAGGCCCUCUUCUCUUUGGCCUUCCCGGACAAUCAGCGUCCAGCUCUGAAGGCCGAGUUUGACCGGCCGGUCAGUGAGGAGGACACGGUCCCUUUGUCCCACUUGGACGAGAGUCCCGCCUACCUCCCAGAGCUUGCUGUCCUUGCCCAGCUGUUUGGCCCCAAGGGUGGCUACUCUUACUAGCCCCCAGCGGCUAUUCCCUCUGCCGCAGGUGGGUGCUGCCCUGCGUACAUAUAGUUGAAUUUGGUGUUGGGGAAACCUUCAUCUGAAACCCACAGAUGACUCUGGGCAGAUCCCCACUGUCCUACCAGUUGCCCUGGCCCAGACUCUGAGCUGCUCACCAGUCACUGGGAAGGAAAAGUGGAGAAAUGGCAAGUCUAUAAAGGUGGAGUCUCAGAAACUCCCCUGGGGGCUCCACCUGGGCCCUAGGGGAAUUCAGCUCAGCUUCUUCCCAGGUCCUGCUUCCUGUGUCCACGCCCCCUACACCUUUUCCCCAACCACAGAGAACAAGAGUUUGUUCUGUUCUGGGGGACAGAGAAGGCGCUUCCCAACUUAAACUGGCAUGAGGGAGAGGAGGUUCGCUGAGAUCCCCAGAUCGUCCCACUGCACGGACAGAGAAGCCUGGACUCUGCCCCAAGCUGUGGCCCCGGGUGGGUUCCAGCUUGUCAGUUCUUGGUGCUCUGUGUUCCCGGAGGCAGGGGGAGGUUGAAGAAAGGAACCUGGGAUGGGGGGUGCUGGGUGGAAGCCGAGAGGGAUGGGUUCCUGCUCCAAGGGGCCCUUUGCCUUUCUUCUGCCCUUUCCUAGGCCCAGUUUCCACUUCCACCUCCACCAUAUCUACCAGACCUUAAUAAAGCCCCACUUCUCCCAAAAAAAAAAAAAAAAAAA